UACGUAGGGGGCAAGCGUUGUCCGGAUUUAUUGGGCGUAAAGAGCGUGUAGGCGGCCAUACAGGUCCGUUGUGAAAACUGGAGGCUUAACCUCCAGACGUCGAUGGAAACCGUAUGGCUAGAGUCCGGAAGAGGCGAGUGGAAUUCCUGGUGUAGCGGUGAAAUGCGCAGAUAUCAGGAGGAACACCUAUGGCGAAGGCAGCUCGCUGGGACGGCACUGACGCUGAGACGCGAAAGCGUGGGGAGCAAACAGG
rnacentral:rRNA from 1 species